rnacentral:rRNA from 1 species
UACGAAGGGGGCUAGCGUUGUUCGGAAUUACUGGGCGUAAAGCGCGCGUAGGCGGCUUCGCAAGUCGGGUGUGAAAUCCCCAAGCUCAACUUGGGAACUGCAUUCGAGACUGCGUUGCUAGAGUAUGGGAGAGGGAAGUGGAAUUUCAGGUGUAGCGGUGAAAUGCGUAGAUAUCUGAAGGAACAUCAGUGGCGAAAGCGGGUCUCUGGGCCGUAACUGACGCUGAGGAGCGAAAGCAUGGGGAGCGAACAGG